GACGAACGCUGGCGGCGCGCCUAACACAUGCAAGUCGAACGGAGCUGAGAGAAGCUUGCUUUUCUUAGCUUAGUGGCGAACGGGUGAGUAACGCGUGAGUAACCUGCCCUGGAGUGGGGGACAACAGUUGGAAACGACUGCUAAUACCGCAUAAGCCCACGAUCCGGCAUCGGAUUGAGGGAAAAGGAUUUAUUCGCUUCAGGAUGGACUCGCGUCCAAUUAGCUAGUUGGUGAGGUAACGGCCCACCAAGGCGACGAUUGGUAGCCGGACUGAGAGGUUGAACGGCCACAUUGGGACUGAGACACGGCCCAGACUCCUACGGGAGGCAGCAGUGGGGGGUAUUGCACAAUGGGGGAAACCCUGAUGCAGCGACGCCGCGUGGAGGAAGAAGGUUUUCGGAUUGUAAACUCCUGUCGUUAGGGACGAUAAUGACGGUACCUAACAAGAAAGCACCGGCUAACUACGUG
rnacentral:rRNA from 1 species